CCUCAUUCUUCACCGAACCCAAUUUCGUUUCUCUCCUCGGCAAAAAAAAUUGAAAGCGCCUCCCCAGCCGCGAUCUGCCAGGAUAUUCCAGACGUUUCCCUUCCUCACUUCCUUCCUUUACCUCUGUUCAGUCUCAUCUCACACUGCGUGAAGCGGGGCGGAGACGCGAACGGCGUAGGGUCGGAGGCUGAGGAAAUGAACUCUCCGGCGGCACUCCGUGGCCGGUGGUGGGGUCGGCCGACCACACUCGACCCCACCUGGAUCCGCCGCUGGUCGCCGUAUUACCCCUCCGGCGCGACGUCGCUGGCCUCCUCUAUCCCAUGUGACCUAUCUCCGUCUUCCUUCUCUUCCAACCUCCAUGGAAUUGAGAUUUGAAGCACCAAGUUCAACACCCCCAAUCUCAAAGCAUGUGAUAUCAAGGUCUGAGAUUUGGAAUGGAUCGGCGCCGCUCCCGUACGUGAUGGCCAAGUUCUCCCACAGAUCUUGAGCCAUCUCGUAUUGAGAUACCUCGUUUACGAGGCUGGCGUCGAUGUUGUUGAUGAUCCAGUUAAAGCAGCAGUGGUCUCUCUGUAUCCAUUUGGUGUAGGUCGGGUCAGUCGGUGAAGGGGGUUUUGACACUCCAGAGAUGUGAGAUAUCAACCCCUUUCCUCCGAUGGCCCUCUGCAUCAGCUUCGCCCAUAGAGGGUAGUUGUCCCCAUUGAGCUUGGUUUGCACAUGUACAUCUCCCAAUUAUUCUGGUGGAGGUUCGGUUUGGGGCUGUUUUGGAGAGUUGUGAGACAUACUUAGUCUCAAGAAUUCUGCAAAUUGUUCUGCAGAGAGGGUUAUCGGUUGGUUUGAAUCAGAUCCUGACAUCUUGAUCUUGGUUGUUGGUUGUUUGUGCAGGGUUUAAAAGGUCGGGAAAGGUACCCAAGACGAUGAUGAUAAUGUUCUGAGUCUCAUGCCCGUAUCGUCCUGCUCUGAUACCAUCUUAAGAUGGUAAUCGAGAGAGGCAGGUCAUGUUAGGCGAAAAGGAUGGAAGUUGUAAUGGGUAGAAGAUGAUUCUGUCGUGUAUUAUUGAAUGAAUAACAAUGAAUUACAGCCCCUCAUUAUAUAGGGAAGACUCUUCCCUAACUAUAGAAAAUAUCAAAAAUGUGAUCAUUCUAUUCUCGGCUAUUAUGUGAUUGUGCCAAUCAAUUAUUCAAUUAAUUAUUCCAUGAUCUUCUCUCU